rnacentral:rRNA from 1 species
CGGCGAACGGUCGCGUAACACGUAGGCAACCUGCCCGAAAGACCGGGACAACACUCCGAAAGGGGUGCUAAUACCGGAUGUGGUUGCGGGAAGACCUCUUCCUGUACCUAAAUCAUUUAUGGCUUUCGGAGGGGCCUGCGGCCUAUCAGCUAGUUGGCGGAGUAACGGCCCACCAAGGCGACGACGGGUAGCUGGUCUGAGAGGAUGGUCAGCCGGACUGGGACUGAGAUACGGCCCAG